AUACGUAGGGUGCAAGCGUUAAUCGGAAUUACUGGGCGUAAAGCGUGCGCAGGCGGUUUUGUAAGACAGUGGUGAAAUCCCCGGGCUCAACCUGGGAACUGCCAUUGUGACUGCAAGGCUGGAGUGCGGCAGAGGGGGAUGGAAUUCCGCGGGUAGCAGUGAAAUGCGUAGAUAUGCGGAGGAACACCGAUGGCGAAGGCAAUCCCCUGGGCCUGCACUGACGCUCAUGCACGAAAGCGUGGGGAGCAAACAGGAUUAGAUACCCUGGUAGUCCACGCCCUAAACGAUGUCAACUGGUUGUUGGGGAUUUAUUUUCUCAGUAACGAAGCUAACGCGUGAAGUUGACCGCCUGGGGAGUACGGCCGCAAGGUUAAAACUCAAAGGAAUUGACGGGG
rnacentral:rRNA from 1 species